rnacentral:rRNA from 1 species
ACGCUGGCGGCAGGCCUAACACAUGCAAGUCGAGCGGUAGAGAGAAGCUUGCUUCUCUUGAGAGCGGCGGACGGGUGAGUAAUGCCUAGGAAUCUGCCUGGUAGUGGGGGAUAACGUCCGGAAACGGACGCUAAUACCGCAUACGUCCUACGGGAGAAAGCAGGGGACCUUCGGGCCUUGCGCUAUCAGAUGAGCCUAGGUCGGAUUAGCUAGUUGGUGGGGUAAUGGCUCACCAAGGCGACGAUCCGUAACUGGUCUGAGAGGAUGAUCAGUCACACCGGAACUGAGACACGGUCCAGACUCCUACGGGAGGCAGCAGUGGGGAAUAUUGGACAAUGGGCGAAGGCCUGAUCCAGCCAUGCCGCGUGUGUGAAGAAGGUCUUCGGAUUGUAAAGCACUUUAAGUUGGGAGGAAGGGCAGUAAAUUAAUACUUUGCUGUUUUGACGUUACCGACAGAAUAAGCACCGGCUAACUCUGUGCCAGCAGCCGCGGUAAUACAGAGGGUGCAAGCGUUAAUCGGAAUUACUGGGCGUAAAGCGCGCGUAGGUGGUUCGUUAAGUUGGAUGUGAACUCCCCGGGCUCAACCUGGGAACUGCAUUCAAAACUGACGAGCUAGAGUAUGGUAGAGGGUGGUGGAAUUUCCUGUGUAGCGGUGAAAUGCGUAGAUAUAGGAAGGAACACCAGUGGCGAAGGCGACCACCUGGACUGAUACUGACACUGAGGUGCGAAAGCGUGGGGAGCAAAC